rnacentral:misc_RNA from 1 species
GACGAUGCCGAUGCUUGCUUGGCAUGCUAUAGCCCCUCCUUGGUAGCAUGCUAUUGACAAGUGUCCGUCCCGAUUGCUAGGUGUACGUUGGAUCGAUGUGGUACGGCACGUUGCGGUUUCGUGUUGGUUUCUUGAUCGUCGUAGCAUGCUCCCUUCUAUGUGCAGUAACUUGCCUUGUGACAAGGUAUCCUGCGGAUCGAUGUGACACGGGUAGGGGAAAAUCGGGAUUGGAGUUAUGAGACGUUGACGCAGCUUGGACGAAGCUCGCCUUCGUGUUGGUUUGCUGAUCGUUGAAGCAUUCUCCCGUCUUUGUGCAGUAACCUAUGUCGUGACAAGGUAUCCUAUGGAUCGAUGUGGCACAGGUAGGGGAAAAUCUGGAUUGGAGUUUUGAGACGUUCACGCGGCUUGGACGGAGUUUGCUUUCGUGUCGUGCGAUGUCGGUGUUUACGUGUUUUUCGUCCCGAUGAGUCCUGAUUGCUAGGUGUAUGUUGGAUCGAUGUGGUGCGGCCCGUUGCGGUUUCGUUUUGGUUUCUUGAUCGUCGUAGCAUGCUCCCUUCUAUGUGCAGUAACCUGCCUUGUGACAAGGUAUCUUGCGGAUCGAUGUGACACGGGUAGGGGAAAAUCGGGAUUGGAGUUGUGAGACGUUGACGCAGCUUGGACGAAGUUCGCCUUCGUGUUGGUUUGCUGAUCGUCGAAGCAUUCUCCCGUCUUUGUGCAGUAACCUAUGUCGUGACAAGGUAUCCUAUGGAUCGAUGUGGCACAGGUAGGUGAAAAUCUGGACUGGAGUUUUGAGACGUUCAUGCGGCUUGGACGGAGUUUGCUUUCGUGUCGUGCGACAUCAUGGUUUUUGUGUUUUUCGUACCGUUCGGUGCAUUCCGGGAGUUUCUUCGUGCUCGUAGUUGUUUGCUUGGCAUUCGUGCUGGGGUUGUGGCUACUUGUGCGGGUUGUUUCAGGGAAUGAAUAUCGUAAAGGUGCAUGAGUGGUGUUUGGUGUGUUGCUGGUGGUUGGAUGACUGCAUUCGCAGCAACGUCCACCGGGGCAUACCUCUUCAUUUACGGCGAACGGUUGUUUCACAACCGGGAGCGUUUGUUGGGUUUUCCUGUGCUGCGUACCUACUUUAGGGCAUGCAAUCGGUUGGUUAAUGUGGAUAUUCACUCCAUGCCACUUGCGUGGCGUGGGAUGAACUAGAACUGGCCCCUCUAUGAUCCUUGUCUUUGACGCAUUGUGUUUUUGGCAUGGCCCAUUGGGCGUGGCUUGGUUUCUUGGAUACGGAACCUUAUGUGGGCAUGCGGUCGCCUAGGUGACCCUGCUUUUGCCCCCGUCAAGCGUUCUUGCUUCUAAAAAACAACAUGCGGUCGUGCAUCGACUUGUU